rnacentral:rRNA from 1 species
UACGGAGGGGGCGAGCGUUAUUCGGAAUUAUUGGGCGUAAAGGGCGCGUAGGCGGCUUUGCAAGUGGCGGGUGAAAUCCCUCGGCUUAACCGAGGAGCUGCCUGUCAAACUGCAUGGCUUGAGACCAGGAGAGGUGAGUGGAAUUCCCAGUGUAGCGGUGAAAUGCGUAGAUAUUGGGAGGAACACCAGUGGCGAAGGCGGCUCACUGGACUGGUACUGACGCUGAUGCGCGAAAGCCAGGGGAGCAAACGGG